ensembl:lncRNA
UGCCUAUUAUGGACAGUUGCUAUGUCAAGGGCGAUUCAGACUAAGAGGCUGAAACUAUCCUACUUUACCAGCUUAAUCCACUUACACUCUUUAGCCUGUGUGUAUGUCUGUCUGUGUGUGUGUGUGUUUGUGCUAACAUUGUCUAGGAAUAUGAUUGUGUAAAAUAUUGAGAAAGUUACUUAGUAUUUAUAUUUAUCCAUGUGUCAGUACUAUUUUGAGUUUGAAUGUUUAAUCUCUAUGUGUGAGUCAUUGUGUGCAUCAUCUUUUCGUCUCUUUUCUCUUUCAUUCUCUCUCUCUCUCUAUCUGUGUGUGUGUGUGUGUGAGUGUGAGUGUUUUAUUCUCUAUGGACCCUUUGCUGCCUAGCAGCCGUGUUGCCACCCUCUCAUGGGGAAUUACAGGUUCAGCCUCACCACACACACACACACACACACACACACUCACCCUCACGCACACACACACACAAAUACAACGCCAAACUCUUUGUUAAGCACAGACUAACCAUGUGCAUUAUACAGAACAAUACUGGGGAGCUCGCUGUGCCUGAAACCAGACUAGCAGCACUGCAACAAGAUUAACAGACUGACACACGCACACACACACACACACACACACACACACACAGUUCCUCAUCAGCGGCUCUAAGAAGCUAAAGAACAACAACAAGCCGGUUGAAAGAGAGACAGAAGGCAGAAGGGGAGACAAGAAAGAGCAGGGUUGGACACCCUGGGAAAUACACACACACACACACACACACAUUAAUGUGUGUGUGUCAUGGGAUUGAAACUCAUUAUUUGCUGAUCUCCUGUCUCCCUCACAACUCCAUAGACUCCUCAGCACAGGAUAGCACCAUCACAUCACAACACUGCUCUGUGACCACAGGAUAGCACCAUCCCAUCAAACACUGUUCUAUGAUGUUUGACCACUGUGUAAUGCAAACCACAUCCAUCUGCUUUGUGUCAACUCCCAGCUAAUACGUAGCUCAUAUUUCAGCAGCAGCCAAGUGGAAGUUGAAAUAACUUGAGUGAAUUCAAGGGUUUCUCUUUGCAGUCAAUAUUUACUGUUCCAGGGCUUCUGACUGACUGUAUGCAGUCUUUAUGAAAGCAUGGUGGAUGAUUUGCUUAUGAGUGUGCUCUAAUGCAUAAUAGAUACGGCCUCUAAUUAGGAUGUGUUACCAGUGGUUUACAGAAAGACCCAAAGGGCUAAUGAAAUGUCAUCUGAAUUUUUACUUUUACUUUAGCUAAAAUACUGGCCCCAAUGUUUGUGAAAGUAAUCACAUAUUAAGUCUUGAAAAGGAACAUUGAUUGAUGUGGCCCUUGCUCCUGUCACUGUUAAUCUUGGAUCUUAAAGGAAAUGGAUCUUAAAGGGAAUGGAUCUUAAAGAAAAUGGAUCCUAAAGGGAAUGGAUCUUAAAGGGAAUGGAUCUUAAAAGAAAUGGAUCUUAAAGGGAAUGGAUCUUAAAGGGAAUGGAUCUUAAAAUAAAUGGAUCUUAAAGGGAAUGGAUCUUAGAAAAUGGAUCCUAAAGGGAAUGGAUCUUAAAGGGAAUGGAUCUUAAAGGAAUGGAUCUCUGGAAAACUCUAAGAUCCACUGUGCCAAUGCCUGAGAUCAUUUCCCAUAUGUGACCUUUGUCACUGUAGCGGCUGAAGGUUGGUGCAGAGUUGGUCAAUCCAACCUUGAUGCUCCAUGAUGGGGAGGUGUGUGUGUUCCUGUCUGUCUGUUUGGUUCUUGAUGCUCCAUGAUGGGGAGGUGUGUGUGUUCCUGUCUGUCUGUUUGGUUCUUGAUGCUCCAUGAUGGGGAGGUGUGUGUGUUCCUGUCUGUCUGUUUGGUUCUUCUUGUUCUGUUUUUUAAUGGCAGACAAGGGACUAGAUAUCUUUUUCUCCACCUCCCUCCCUCUCUCUCUCUCUCUCUCUCUCUCUCUGUCCAUUCCUUCCUCUGUCCAUCUCUCUCUCUCUGUCUGUUCCUUUGUCUCCUUGAACUGUACUCUCUAAGAGUGUCACAAAUAGUCUGCCCAUAGGUUUUCAUACCCUUACACACGCUUCCUAACAUGCUCAUAAAAUGCCCUUAUUAAACUUAGCUGAAAUUAAUACACACACACACACACACACACAAACACACAUAUAUUUGAAAAUGAUUACCCACACACAUGGCAGUAGUAAUUAACACCUCCCCUCAUUCCCAGUAGUGCUUUCCCAUUAAGAACGGAAUCGAACCUGUGCUGAAAUCUUUAAUCUUGCUUCUCCAUUCUCAUUAGAAUGGCAUUGGCUCCUAUUGAAUGGCCUGCCAUGACAAACAGCCUUCAUCCACCCAGCAGGGUCCUGGCAGCCCCACUCUAGUUCUCUCUCUCUCUCUCUCUCUCUCUCUCUUUCUCUCUCUUUUUCUCUCUCUCUUUCUCUCUCUCUCUCCCUCUCUCUCUCUUUCUCCUCUCUCUCUUCUCUCUCUCUCUCUUAGUCUCUCUCUCUCUCUUUCUCUCUCUCUUUCUCCUCUCUCUCUCUCUUCUCUCUCUCUCUCUCUCACUCUCUCUCUCUCUCUCUCUCUCUCUCUCUUUCGGCAGACAGCCAUAGGUGAGGAUGCGGGCAUGGCGGACCCAUAACACAUAGAGACAUUUGUAAUCUUUGCAAAUGAGAAAGGAGCUUGCAACA